CGUUGAACAUCGAAAGCUGGUGCACCACACCAGCACAAGAGGGAAUCCGGUGAGAAUCCGGAACUGUCCCGCAGCGGUUAAUCGAAACGACCGCCGUCAUACGCACUGGGCAUAGCCUGGGAAGCGACGGCCAGUAGGCGUACGAAGGUGCAUGUCGAUGAGUCCGAAUACCUGCCGGUUGUACCGGGCACGC
rnacentral:ncRNA from 2 species